rnacentral:rRNA from 1 species
AUGCUGCACCUUGAAUUCCCCGCCAGCUUCCCCUUCCUCGGCCAGGUCGCGCCGGCGCCUUCCGAUUCCCUUCACCUGCUUCCUCCCAUCACCUCACGCCAAUGCACCCACAUCGCCGCGUCCCCGUCUGUCCCCGUCAGAACUACAAUGGCGAUCGAGACCCCGGCACCCGCAUCCCCGACCGCCUGGCCCGCUUCCCCGACUGGCCGCACCCUCUCCGCGGCCUUCGCCGACGACCGCCGCCGGGAGGCCAGGCGCCGCGCCGUGCACCUCCUCCCGGGCUGCGGCAGGCCGCCGCAGCCGCGCUCCAAUCUCAUCAACCGCGUGCUCCACCGAUUCGGCGCCGCCUGCGUCCCUAAGAGCACCGCCGCCACCCCCACCCGGACGCCCCCGCUGCCUCGGCGGUCGUCAGUGUCGACGCCCCCGCGGCCUCGGCCGUCGUCGGCGUCGACGCCGCCCACGUCAACCCAGGUGCCGGCUCGCCUAGACCAGGCAGACGCGGAGAGAGUCGCCGCCAGGAGGCCUUUGAGGGAGAGAGAGGACGCCGCCGCCGUCGGACGAGAGCCGACGCCGCCGGUGUCCCAAGCCAGUGCCGUGGCGGCUACUGAAGUGGUUGCCAGCCUUGCGAGCAACUGGAGAAGCGAUACCGCCACCACCGUCGGGAGAGGAGCAAACAUCUGGGUGAGGGUUUCGCGCAAGCCGAAGUCGCCGCAGGUGGACUCUCCGCAGCUGUCAGUGGAAUCAACAGCGGCGGCGGAGGAUCAGUACGUGUGGGCGGACAGGUACCGGCCCAGUGUGCUCGGAGAAUUCAUCUGCAACAAGACUGUCGCCGAUGAGCUCCACCGGAUGGUGACUGAACGCCAAUGCAACCAUUUCAUAUUUGAAGGGGCACAGUCGGUCGGGAAGAGAAGCAUGGUGCUGGCCCUUUUAAGAGAUGCUUUUGGUCCUGAUAAUCUCAAGAUAGAGGAACUCACAAAGAGAAUCGAGCUGAAGGGAGAAAUCGCCAAACACAUUGAUGUUAAAGUGAAGAUUUCAGAUCAUCACGUGGAGGUAAACUUGGCUGAUUUACAUGGCUAUGAGAAGUAUGUCAUAACUACUUUGUUGAAUGAGUCAAUCCCACCACCGGACUUGAUUUGCGAUCAUGCUAACUGCAAAGUGAUUGUGGUCCAUGAUGCUGAUAGGCUUUCGUCUGAUCUUCAGCAUUAUGUCGGUUGGUUUUUGGGGAGGUAUGCAGGUUGCAACAAAAUUAUUUUCAGCUGCUCCAGUUCUUCAAACCUUGAUGCCGUUGAACAUCUAUGCAAGGUUGUCCGACUUAAACCACCUUCAUUUGAUGAGAUAAUCAAGGUUCUAGAGUUCAUUGCUACACAAGAAGGCAUAGAUUUGCCUCGUGGACUUGCCAGUAGAAUUGCAGCUAGCGCGAGUAAUAAUCUCCGACAGGCAAUACGCUCUUUUGAAGCUACAUGGAAAGCAAACUAUCCAUUCACGAAAGACCAACCCAUUUUGACUGGAUGGGAGGAGGAAAUUUAUGAUGUUGCCAAAAAAAUCAUGGAGGAGCCAAGUCCAAAGCAGCUGUAUCUCAUUCGGCGGAAGAUCAGAAAAAUGAUUGAACAUAAUGUGUCACCUUAUUUCAUUUUCUGUCACUUGGUUAAUGAACUGAAAAGGGACAGGGAUGAAGAUUUUCAGAAUAGCAUCGAUGAACUGGCACUGGAGUUGAACCAAAACCAGCAGUGCAAAGAAUACAAAUCUCAGGACACAAUUUCUGACAAAAGAGCUAUCAAUAUAGAAGGUUUCGCUGUUGAAGGCCCUGACCAAGGGGAAGCCAUCCAAUGCUUCAUAAAGAUUGAAGAAUUCACUGUGAGGUUCAUGAGCUUCUACAGAUCUUUAAUAACGAAGAACUCAAGCAGAGGCGGUGUUCCUUCAUGA